CCUGUCCCUGGGGAGUUUCCCUCAUUGCAUGAAAACGAGGAUGAAAUCUCUGCUGCUUUUCCUGUCCCUGUUCUCUGCCCCCUCCUGUGUCCUGUCCCAGGUGCAGCUGGUCCAGACCGGCCCGGGAGCGGUGAAGCCGGGAGCGACCCUCAGUAUCACCUGUAAAGUCUCUGGAGUCUCUGUCAGUGACCACUACUGGAGCUGGAACCGGCAGCCUGCUGGGAAAGGACUGGAGUGGAUGGGGUUUAUCCGGGAUACAGCUAACGGGGGGACCACAGAGUAUAACUCGGCUCUCAAACCUCGUGUCACCAUCACCAGGGACACCUCGAAAAAUGAAGUUUAUCUCCAGCUCGGCUCGCUGACAGCUGCAGACACCAGCACCUAUUACUGUGCCAGAGACACAGGCUUCGGGGGGCGUGACAAGUCUUAUCAAGGUAGGGAAAGGACAAGGAAUCAGACAGCCUUCUGA